UACGUAGGGUGCAAGCGUUGUCCGGAAUUAUUGGGCGUAAAGAGCUCGUAGGCGGUUUGUCGCGUCAUGCUGUGAAAACUCGGGGCUCAACUCCGAGCUUGCAGUCGAUACGGGCAGGCUAGAGUUCGGCAGGGGAGACUGGAAUUCCUGGUGUAGCGGUGAAAUGCGCAGAUAUCAGGAGGAACACCGGUGGUGUAGACGGCUCUCUGGACCAUAACUGACGCUGAGACACGAAAGCGUGGGUAGCAAACAGG
rnacentral:rRNA from 1 species